CUCAGCAAACAUUUACUGAGCAACUGCCCCAUGCCAGGUGCUGGGAACAGACCCAAGUGAGACCCAUUCCUCCCUCUAGAGGCACGUGGUCAGACAUGUAAGGUGUCUAAGGCCUGUGGACAGCUGACCGCUGACCAGGUGGAGUCGCAGCCUGCAGAGGCUCUGCCGGGCACAAAGCCAGAGGCUCCUGGAGCCAGGCUGGGGAGCGUGGCUCGGCCACCCUGGCCAGGUCCGGCCGCCCCAUCAGCUUCAUGGUGGUUUUCAUCACCCCCAACCCCCUGAGCAAGAUUUCCUGGGUCAACAGGUUACAUUUGGCCAAAAUCGGACUCCGGGAGGAGAACCAGCCAGGCUGGCUAUGCCCGGAUGAGGACAAGAAGAGCAAAGCCCCGUUCUGGUGCCCGAUCCUGGCCUGCUGCAUCCCUGCCUUCUCCUCCCGGGCACUCAGCCUGCAGCUUGGGGCCCUGGUCCACAGUCCUGUCAAC
rnacentral:sRNA from 1 species